rnacentral:piRNA from 1 species
UGGCAGAGAAUAUUGGGCGCAUCCCAAGGA